GACGAACGCUGGCGGCGUGCCUAAUACAUGCAAGUCGAACGCAGUGGGGACGGGUGAGUAACACGUGGGUAACCUCCCAUCAGAGGGGAUAACACUUGGAAACAGGUGCUAAACCGAUACUGAUGGAUGGACCCGCGGUGCAUUAGCUAGUUGGGGAGGUAACGGCUCACCAAGGCCACGAUGCAUAGCCGACCUGAGAGGGUGAUCGGCCACUCUGGGACUGGGACACGGCCCAGACUCCUACGGGAGGCAGCAGUAGUGAAUCUUCGGCAAUGGACGAAAGUCUGACCGAGCAACGCCGCGGGAGUGAAGAAGGGUUUUGGAUCGUAAAACUCUGGUUUUAGAGAAGCGGUAGCUAGCCAGAAAGCCACGGCUAAAUUCGGGCCAGCAGCCGCGGUAAUAC
rnacentral:rRNA from 1 species